rnacentral:tRNA from 1 species
GGAACUGUGCCCGAAUGCCUAAGGACCACUUUGAUAGAGUGAUUAAUGAGAGUUAAAAUCUCUCCAGCUCCU